GAGAGUAAAACAGUACGUGAAAUUGUUGAAAGGGAAACGCUUGAAGUCAGUCGUGCCGGCGUUGGAUUCAGCUUGCUUCGCGGAGCAGGCGCAUUUCCGCGCAUGGCAGGUCAGCAUCAGUUUUGCGCGGCGUGAAAAGGCUCGGGUAAGGUAGCUCUCUUCGGGGAGUGUUAUAGACCUGGGCAGAUGCGCUGCGCGGGACUGAGGAUUGCAGCGGACACCCCCUCGGGGGCGCGGCGACCGAACCCUGCUCGGCCACCCUCGUUCGAUAGCGUGCUAGCGGACGCGGGAGCGGCAGUGCACCGGAACAGGCAAGCCAGCGGUUCGCUAAGGAUGCUGACGUAAUGGCUUUAAACGA
rnacentral:rRNA from 1 species